rnacentral:tRNA from 2 species
CUAAUCUUAGUUUAAAAAGAAUGUUGGUUUUGGGGACCAUUGGUCUCGGUUGAGAGGUUUGA